UGGAGGUGGGAGGGAAAGAGGAGGCGAUGGAUGGAUGGGUCGCUGGAGAAAUGGAUGUGGGAAUUUUGGGUUGGAUUGUUUCGGCACGGAUGUGACAUGAGUUAAUUGCUGCCUGCUUCAUUUAUUUUGUUUUUAUUUUAUAUAUUACUUAUUAUUGUUUUUCCGUGAAAGAUUAAAUGAUUGUUGCUUCUACUCUAUUGUAUUUUGUAUUGUGGAAAUACGGGUUUGCCGUGACGCUGCUGUACCUUGAAAAGAAGUGUACUUGUAGUUUUUUUUCUUAGUCAAACUUGGUUAAGAUGAUUAACUAAAUUUAUAGAAAAAUUUAGUAAUAUCAAAAAUAACAAAUUAGUUUAAUAAAAUCCAGCAUUGGAUGUCUGUUUUAUGUUAAAAAAUGCU
rnacentral:sRNA from 1 species